AAACAUCGCCUCUUGCCAAAAUAUAAGAGGUCCCGCCUGCCCUGUGACAUAUGUUUAACGGCCGCGGUAUCCUGACCGUGUGAAGGUAGCGUAAUCACUUGUCUUUUAAAUGAAGACCCGUAUGAAUGGCUUAACGAAGGCUUAACUGUCUCAUUCUUUCGGUCAAUGAAAUUGAUUUUCCCGUGCAGAAGCGGGAAUAAAACCAUAAGACGAAAAGACCCUGUGGAGCUUUAGAUCCUAUUUACAUCUUCGGUUGGGGCGACCACGGAAAAAACUUCCAGGUUAUUUAGAAUAACACCUCAAAACUUUAGAACUUCUAACCCUUGAUCCGGUUCACCGAUUAACGAAACAAGUUACCCCAGGGAUAACAGCGCAAUCUCCUUUUAGAGUCCAUAUCGACAAGGAGGCUUACGACCUCGAUGUUGGAUCAGGGCAUCCUAAUGGCGCAACCGCUAUUAAGGGUUC
rnacentral:rRNA from 1 species